rnacentral:rRNA from 1 species
GACGAACGCUGGCGGCGUGCUUAACACAUGCAAGUCGAACGGAAAGGCCCUGCUUUUGUGGGGUGCUCGAGUGGUGAACGGGUGAGUAACACGUGAGUAACCUGCCCUUGACUUUGGGAUAACUUCAGGAAACUGGGGCUAAUACCGGAUAGGAGCUCCUGCUGCAUGGUGGGGGUUGGAAAGUUUCGGCGGUUGGGGAUGGACUCGCGGCUUAUCAGCUUGUUGGUGGGGUAGUGGCUUACCAAGGCUUUGACGGGUAGCCGGCCUGAGAGGGUGACCGGCCACAUUGGGACUGAGAUACGGCCCAGACUCCUACGGGAGGCAGCAGUGGGGAAUAUUGCACAAUGGGCGGAAGCCUGAUGCAGCAACGCCGCGUGCGGGAUGACGGCCUUCGGGUUGUAAACCGCUUUCGCCUGUGACGAAGCGUGAGUGACGGUAAUGGGUAAAGAAGCACCGGCUAACUACGU